AGCGAACGCUGGCGGCAGGCUUAACACAUGCAAGUCGAGCGGGCAUCUUCGGAUGUCAGCGGCAGACGGGUGAGUAACCCGUGGGAACGUACCCUUCGGUUCGGAACAACUCUGGGAAACUGGAGCUAAUACCGGAUACGCCCUUAUGGGGAAAGGUUUACUGCCGAAGGAUCGGCCCGCGUCUGAUUAGCUAGUUGGUGGGGUAACGGCCUACCAAGGCGACGAUCAGUAGCUGGUCUGAGAGGAUGAUCAGCCACACUGGGACUGAGACACGGCCCAGACUCCUACGGGAGGCAGCAGCGGGGAAUAUUGGACAAUGGGCGCAAGCCUGAUCCAGCCAUGCCGCGUGAGUGAUGAAGGCCUUAGGGUUGUAAAGCUCUUUUGUCCGGGACGAUAAUGACGGUACCGGAAGAAUAAGCCCCGGCUAACUUCGUG
rnacentral:rRNA from 1 species